UAACUGCGCGCAAUCGUGUGAACUGCAGGACACAUGAACACCGACGUUUUGAACGCAUAUGGCGGUCUGAAGGAAAUUUUCAGACCACGUCUGGCUGAGGGUCGGAUUUGAAAUAAGCAAAAGCAUCGCCGGGUUGAAAAGCUCGGUCAGAGUUAAAGUAUUAAAGUUGUGUUACAGCUCAACUUGGUCUGAUGUUAAAACAAAUGUGACCAUAAGCGAGUUUAUAGCACACACAAAUUCAUAUAUACGACCUCAGAGUAGACGAGAUUACCCGCUUAAUUUAA
rnacentral:misc_RNA from 1 species